GAGUUUCAUUGUUUUGCUGCUCCUUCUUUCGAUUGUAUAAAUAGGAGCAGUGUGGGCCUUCCUAAGGAGGAAGAAGAGUGCAGGGACACAUUAACUUUAAAACAUCAGUUUUAUCCUGAUACUAAAACAGUGAAAGACCUGGAAAGAAGAGAGAGCUACGGACCAAUCUCCUUCAUGAACAUAGAUGCAAAAAUUUUGAACAAAAUGCACAGCUGGGUCCAGAGCUAAAGGGUCAGCCAGCCCUGAGGUGGAAUGCAAGGAGUACCAAGCACUAUAUGAGGUGUGUCUUUUAAUGUGCUUUCCAACCUUGGUAGGUUCUGAUUCCAGCCUUGAAAACCACCACACCUGCGAGCCAAGAAUAAUUUCCAUAAAUCCUGCCUUUCCUGGUUAUGAAUUUGUGUUUGGGGAUGAAGUUAGAGCACUUGGCUAUCUUUAGACGUUUGUAAUCUUUUUGAAUUGUAUGAAGAAUAAGG
rnacentral:lncRNA from 1 species